rnacentral:rRNA from 1 species
CCCAGCGUUACCCGGAUUUACUGGGCGUAAAGGACGAGAANGCGGGAACGUAAUGUUUACCCUAAAANUCACCGAGCUCAACUCGGUGAAUGGGGUAAAUACUGCGUUCCUAGAGUCUGCCAGGGGCCAGCGGAACGGUCGGUGUAGGGGUGAAAUCCNAUGAUAUCGACCGGAACGCCGAAGGCGAAGGCAGCUGGCUAGGGCAGUACUGACGCUGAUCUCGUGAAAGCCAGGGGCGCGAACCGGAUUANAUACCCGGGUAGUCCUGGCCGUAAACGAUGGGUGCUAGCUUUGGGGAGAGUCNACCCUCUCUGAGGCGAANCUAACGCGUUAANCACCCCGCCUGGGGA